rnacentral:rRNA from 1 species
UACGUAGGAGGCAAGCGUUGUCCGGAAUUACUGGGCGUAAAGCGCGUGUAGGUGGUGGGACAAGUCUGCUGUGAAAGCGCCUGGCUUAACCGGGCGAGGUCGGCGGAAACUGUUCGACUCGAGGACGGUAGAGGGGGGUGGAAUUCCCGGUGUAGUGGUGAAAUGCGUAGAGAUCGGGAGGAACACCUGUGGCGAAGGCGGCCACCUGGACGACAACUGACGCUGAGACGCGAAAAG